UGAGUAGGCGGUUACAUAUGUCAGAUGUAAAAGGCACAGGCUUAACUUGUGUUAGCAUUUGAAACUGUGUGGCUUGAGUGCAGGAGAGGUAAGUGGAAUUCCUAGUGUAGCGGUGAAAUGCGUAGAUAUUAGGAGGAACACCAGUGGCGAAGGCGACUUACUGGACUGUAACUGACGCUGAGUCACGAAAGCGUGGGUAGCAAACAG
rnacentral:rRNA from 1 species